UACUACACUAUUUUAUUAAUAGCAUUCCCAAAUUAAUCAACUUAUGCGGAAGGUAACAUUUUAAUAGCACUACAAUUUUUCAU